rnacentral:rRNA from 1 species
UACGUAGGGUGCAAGCGUUUGUCCGGAAUUAUUGGGCGUAAAGAGCUACGUAGGCGGUUUGUCGCGUCUGCCGUGAAAGUCCGGGGCUCAACCCCGGAUCUGCGGUGGGUACGGGCAGACUAGAGUGAUGUAGGGGAGACUGGAAUUCCGUGGUGUAGCGGUGAAAUGCGACAGAUAUCAGGAGGAACACCGAUGGCGAAGGCAGGUCUCUGGGCAUUAACUGACGCUGAGGAGCGAAAGCAUGGGGAGCGAACAGG